AGAGUUUGAUCCUGGCUCAGGAUGAACGCUAGCGGCAGGCUUAACACAUGCAAGUCGAGGGGUAACAGGGAGUGCUUGCACUCCGCUGACGACCGGCGAACGGGUGCGUAACGCGUAUGCAACUUGCCUUCUACAGGGGGAUAGCCCAGAGAAAUUUGGAAUAAUACCCCAUAAGGUCAUUUAAUGGCAUCAUUAAAUGAAGAAAACUCCGGUGGUAGAAGAUGGGCAUGCGUCCUAUUAGUUAGUUGGUAAGGUAACGGCUUACCAAGACACCGAUAGGUAGGGGUCCUGAGAGGGAGAUCCCCCACACUGGUACUGAGACACGGACCAGACUCCUACGGGAGGCAGCAGUGAGGAAUAUUGGACAAUGGAGGCAACUCUGAUCCAGCCAUGCCGCGUGCAGGAAGACGGCCCUACGGGUUGUAAACUGCUUUUAUACAGGAAGAAUUGUACCUACGUGUAGGUACUUGACGGUACUGUAAGAAUAAGGAUCGGCUAACUCCGUGCCAGCAGCCGCGGUAAUACGGAGGAUCCAAGCGUUAUCCGGAAUUAUUGGGUUUAAAGGGUCCGUAGGCGGUUUUUUAAGUCAGAGGUGAAAUCCUGCAGCUCAACUGUAGCAUUGCCUUUGAUACUGAAAGACUUGAGUUAUUGUGAAGUAGUUAGAAUGUGUAGUGUAGCGGUGAAAUGCAUAGAUAUUACACAGAAUACCGAUUGCGAAAGCAGAUUGCUAACAAUAUACUGACGCUGAGGGACGAAAGCGUGGGUAGCGAACAGGAUUAGAUACCCUGGUAGUCCACGCCGUAAACGAUGGAUACUAGCUGUUCGAUCAACAUUGGUUGAUU
rnacentral:rRNA from 1 species